UGAUGGCUGUUCCUCUCACAUUUUGUUUCGGUGGCUGUCUGGAGUCUUAGGUGGUGGGAUUUUAGUCCAUCGUAUGUCUAAGCUGGCUGGUCUCCCCUCAGGACACCAUGGGGUUGGCUGGGCUGUCCGUUUGUGCCUUCUGAUUUUCGUGGAGUCACACAAUU